AGAGUUUGAUCAUGGCUCAGGAUGAACGCUGGCGGCGUGCCUAAUACAUGCAAGUCGAACGCUUUGUGGUUCAACUGAUUUGAAGAGCUUACUCAGAUAUGACGAUGGACAUUGCAAAGAGUGGCGAACGGGUGAGUAGCACGUGGGAAACCUACCUCUUAGCAGGGGAUAACAUUUGGAAACAGAUGCUAAUACCGUAUAACAAUGACAACCGCAUGGUUGUUAUUUAAAAGAUGGUUCUGCUAUCACUAAGAGAUGGUCCCGCGGUGCAUUAGCUAGUUGGUAAGGUAAUGGCUUACCAAGGCGAUGAUGCAUAGCCGAGUUGAGAGACUGAUCGGCCACAAUGGGACUGAGACACGGCCCAUACUCCUACGGGAGGCAGCAGUAGGGAAUCUUCCACAAUGGGCGAAAGCCUGAUGGAGCAACGCCGCGUGUGUGAUGAAGGGUUUCGGCUCGUAAAACACUGUUGUAAGAGAAGAAUGACAUUGAGAGUAACUGUUCAAUGUGUGACGGUAUCUUACCAGAAAGGAACGGCUAAAUACGUGCCAGCAGCCGCGGUAAUACGUAUGUUCCAAGCGUUAUCCGGAUUUAUUGGGCGUAAAGCGAGCGCAGACGGUUAUUUAAGUCUGAAGUGAAAGCCCUCAGCUCAACUGAGGAAUUGCUUUGGAAACUGGAUGACUUGAGUGCAGUAGAGGAAAGUGGAACUCCAUGUGUAGCGGUGAAAUGCGUAGAUAUAUGGAAGAACACCAGUGGCGAAGGCGGCUUUCUGGACUGUAACUGACGUUGAGGCUCGAAAGUGUGGGUAGCAAACAGGAUUAGAUACCCUGGUAGUCCACACCGUAAACGAUGAGUGCUAGGUGUUUGAGGGUUUCCGCCCUUAAGUGCCGCAGCUAACGCAUUAAGCACUCCGCCUGGGGAGUACGACCGCAAGGUUGAAACUCAAAGGAAUUGACGGGGACCCGCACAAGCGGUGGAGCAUGUGGUUUAAUUCGAAGCAACGCGAAGAACCUUACCAGGUCUUGACAUCCCUUGACAACUCCAGAGAUGGAGUGUUCCCUUCGGGGACAAGGUGACAGGUGGUGCAUGGUUGUCGUCAGCUCGUGUCGUGAGAUGUUGGGUUAAGUCCCGCAACGAGCGCAACCCUUAUUACUAGUUGCCAGCAUUCAGUUGGGCACUCUAGUGAGACUGCCGGUGACAAACCGGAGGAAGGUGGGGAUGACGUCAAAUCAUCAUGCCCCUUAUGACCUGGGCUACACACGUGCUACAAUGGCGUAUACAACGAGUUGCCAACCCGCGAGGGUGAGCUAAUCUCUUAAAGUACGUCUCAGUUCGGAUUGUAGGCUGCAACUCGCCUACAUGAAGUCGGAAUCGCUAGUAAUCGCGGAUCAGCACGCCGCGGUGAAUACGUUCCCGGGUCUUGUACACACCGCCCGUCACACCAUGAGAGUUUGUAACACCCAAAGCCGGUGGGGUAACCUUCGGGAGCCAGCCGUCUAAGGUGGGACAGAUGAUUAGGGUGAAGUCGUAACAAGGUAGCCGU
rnacentral:rRNA from 1 species